rnacentral:rRNA from 1 species
GACGAACGCUGGCGGCGUGCUUAACACAUGCAAGUCGAACGAUGAAGCGGGUGCUUGCACUCGUGGAUUAGUGGCGAACGGGCGAGUAACACGUGAGUAACCUGUCCUUUUCUUUGGGAUAACGGCUGGAAACGGCUGCUAAUACUGGAUAUUCAGGCUGCAUCGCAUGGUGUGGUUUGGAAAGGUUUUUUCUGGGAUUGGGUGGGCUCGCGGCCUAUCAGCUUGUUGGUGGGGUGAUGGCUUACCAAGGCUUUGACGGGUAGCCGGCCUGAGAGGGUGGUGGGUCGAACGGGGACUGAGAUACGGCCCAGACUCCUACGGGAGGCAGCAGUGGGGAAUAUGGCACAAUGGACGAAAGUUUGAUGCAGCGACGCCGCGUGGAGGGUGUAGGCCUUCGGGUGGUGAACUCCUUUUUCUCGCGAAAAAGGCACAGUUUUGGCUGUGUUGAUGGUAGUGGGGAAGAAGCGCCGGCUAACUACGUG